AAUUCUGUCAAUACCGUUAAUGAAUUCUGUCAAUACUAAGACUAUCAACUCUUACUGUUAAUGAAUUCUGUCAAUACUAAGACUGAAAACGACAAUUUACCCAACGCCAAGCCUCAGUCAAUCUUGUAUCUAUGCCAAUCGGUUUUAUCAAUGGUGGGAAAUUUAAUAAAAAGCCAAUCAAUUCCACAAAACCCAACUGCAAAACCUCAAAUUAUCGUGACAGAGGAACGACGACGUGGUGGACGACGGGUAUCAAAGAUCGAAGGAUGAUGGUCAGGCGACUGUGGUGGUGGUCGGAGAGGCAACAACGACUGCACAGAUGGAGCUGGAUGUGGCGUCCAGAAACCAGAGAUCAUCUGGGGCAGGUGGAUCAUCUGGGGAACAUGAACUUGCUCUUCCAGCAGCUACGGCAAGAAGCAAACACAGAAAUCAUAGAUUGGAAGAGAAUGGAGUUGUGCUUUUAGAUUUUAUAUUUGAAUUGGGAUAGAAGUUGUAUUGGUUUUCGCUUAUGAUUGCUGGAGAUUGGUUGAAUUCUGUGGGUGUUUGAUUUCGGCAAUUUCAGCUGUGGGCAGUUUGUGGUUGUGUGUGUUGAAUAUCAUGUGAGGAUUUGCCCACCUUGUGUUUGAUUGUUUGCCUGGCUGAGCUGGGUUUUGUUUGGUACGUGAAUCCUGAAAAGACAAUUAUCUUAUCUACUUUACAUGCAUGGAUAAAAAUAAUAUUAAAUUAUA